rnacentral:lncRNA from 1 species
CCAUAUGCUUCGCCGAAUUGCAUUGUUAGUGAACUCUAAACUUAGGUACGCCUUAGGUCACUUUUAUUUGUAUCAUGUCAUUUACACCUAGUAGGGCUCAAUCCCAGGUACUGUGUCCCUUUGUAAGGAGCCUGUCCAAAUUUUGUCAAAAUGGGCCCGUGGCCCAAAAUGACAUUCAAUCAUCCUAUGUGCUAAAUAUUGUAUCUUUAAGGGUAAAACGGUCCUUUGGCAUAUCGAUAUUUGGGAAAGAAAGGCG